rnacentral:lncRNA from 1 species
UAAAUCUUUUUUUUUUUUAAUUUAAAAAAAAAAUAGUAUGUUGUAAUUAUAUAAUUUGUUAGAAAACUUUAACAAGAACAUUGUUGAUAUCUGGCAAGAAAACUCUCUAGCUUACUCAUAAGUUUUAACUGCUCGUUAAAGAAAGCAUAGUGGGGCUAUAAAAAGGAAUACAUACUUAAGAUGAGCUAAAUGAAGAACUUUAAUAUUUUGAGAAAAGUUGAAACUGAAAGUUGUUCAUUGUUACAAUCGGAAACUCUUUGAUGAGUAUCCACUGUGUGCUGGACCCUGAGUAUCUGAUGAGACUGACACCAGUUCUGUCCUCCCCAAGACUCUGUAUAUGUGGUGGGUGGGUGGAAUGGUAGUCUGUGUCUGUGAUGCCACACUGAUCCAGGAAGAGUCCAAGGGUAAAGUUAGCUUUAUAUUUGGGCUACAUGGGAAGCAGGAGGGAUGGAGGAAAAAGGUGUAUAUUUAUGAUUAGCAUAGGGUUAGUACAAACAGGGUAAUUAAAUACAAAAGACCUUCUUAAACUUAUAUACUUGAUCUUAGCCAAAAGGCCAAAAGGAGAUCUUUCUGAAACAUGUAAAAAGCUCGUCUGAAUUCAAUAAAAGAACAUUUGUACAAUAUGUUGAAGAAAGUCUGAGUUCAAGAUCCAGGAAAUUGACAUUGUCAGCAAACUUCUAUGACCAGGAAAAGUGUUUAACUGUUCUUUUAUCAUUUGGCACAUCUAUAAAAUGAAAUAGAGUGAAACUGCAUAAGGUUUAUUUUAGUCUAAAAUUAUAAACUUGUCUGAAGUAGAAAAUCUUGAAAAAUUGUCCAGAGAUGUCUUGCUAGUUUCCUAAAAAAAAAAAAAAAAAUUUUUUUUUUGUUUUUUGUUUUGUUUUUUUGAGGCAGGGUUUCUCUGUAUAGCCCUGAGUUAAAAGAAAUUUUUAACAAGUGAUGUGGUUUUUUUAAAGUUUGUUUAUUUAUGUAUUUUAUGAAUAUGGGUGCAUUGUCUGCAUGCAUUUCAGAAAAGGGCAUCAGAUCUCAUUAUAGACAGUUGUGAGCUGCCAUGUGGGUUUUAACAAUUGAACUUAGUAUCUGAGCCAUCUCUCCAGCCCCAACAAAUGAUGUUUUCAUGAUAGACUAUGAACAAAUCCAUGACAUGCAUAUAUUCCUGAAGUAUUGGCCUUGCCUAUUCAACAAUUCAUAUCACCUGCAGAGACAUCACCUCAGUUUGUAAAAAUGUGACCAUAAUGCAUGAAAACAGCUCAUAUUUUCCUAAUAAUGUUCUGUCUUGGGUAAAGCUUGGUUAUAUUUUACUAUUAAAUUAUAUUGAAUUUUUCUUUGAAAUCAAGAAAUAAUAAAAGUUUUUCUUAAGUAAAAGAGAUUGAGGUGGCUGUAUCUGGAGGAUAUCAUCCUUAGUGAGGUAACCCAAUUACAAAAGAAGUCAUUAAAUAUGCACUGACUGAUAAGUGGAUAUUAGCCCAAAAACUUAGAAUACCCAAGAUACAAUUUGCAAAACACAAGAAAAUCAAGAAGAAGGAAGACCAACGUGUAAAUACUUCAUUCCUCCUUAGAAUAGGGAACAAAAUACCCAUGGAAGGAGUUACAGAAACCAAGUUUGUAGCUAAGACGAAAGAAUGGACUAUCCAGAGACUACCCCACCCGGGGAUCCAUCCCAUAAUCAGCCACCAAACCCAGACACUAUUGCAUAUGCCAGGAAGAUUUUGCUGAAGGGACCCUGAUAUAGCUGUCUCUUGUGAAGCUAUGCCAGUGCCUGGCAAAUACAGAAGUGGAUGCUCACAGUCAUCUAUAGGAUGGAACACAGGGCUCCCAGUGGAGAAGCUAGAGAAAGCACCCAAAGAGCUGAAGGGGUCUGCAAUCCUAUAGGUGGAACAACAAUAUGAACUAAUCAGCACCUAGCUGCAUAUGUAGUAGAAGAUGGUGUAGUCGGACAUCAUUGGGAAGAGAGGCCCCUUGGUAUUGCAAACUUUAUGUGCCCCAGUACAGGGGAAUGCCAGGGCCAAGAAGUGGGAGUGAGUGGGUAGGAGAUCAGGGCAGGGGGAAGGUAUACGGAACUUUCAAGAUAGCAUUUAAAAUGUAAAU